GGAGAGGUGGCUGAGUUGGCUGAAGGCGCUCGCCUGGAAAGCGGGUAAACGUGGAAGCGUUUCGAGGGUUCGAAUCCCUCUCUCUCCGCCA
rnacentral:tRNA from 1 species